UAGAACAGUAACUACCUUUUUUUCAAACACAAAAACACACCAAACUCCCUCUAAACUUGCUCAAACGGAUCUCCAUUCAUUUUGCUUCUUCUAAGGCAAGAAAGUUAUCAAGAAUAUAAAGAGUAAAUGUCCAUAAUCCCUUGUAUUCACAUUGUUAAUUUUAUAUGAUCUUUUUUUUUCUUCAAAAUUUGGACAAAUGUUAGUGUUUAAUGUUGAAGACAUUAAUGAAUUUUUUGGCAAUUUGUGAUCGAAUAUUGACAUUUUUGACUUGGAAUGUUAUUUAGACUUGGUUUAAGUUCAAUGUGAUAGUUUAAAAGUUGAAAUAACACAAUGAAUAGAGAUUAUAUAUUUUGCACUCAAAGUGUUUGAUGAAAUGCUUGAAUGAGUUUAUCAUUGAUUUUUUUUUCAUUUUUUUAUGUUGCGUAGACAUGGCUGACAAGCGCAUGCUGGGAAAGGAGACCGUGACUGGUAGCUUACGCAGAGAGAGAGAGGCAAGAAGUGAACCCUAUGCCUAAACGGGGACAUGGGCGUAGGAAUGAUGGGGAGAGGACCUCACAGACGGGUACGUCUCAGGACCAAUAUUAUGUGAUUUAAGAUCAGUACUAUGAUCCCACUAAGGAGCACUACCAAGACCCUACUCAGAAGGAGUAUUACUAGAUUGAGCAUCAUCAUGAGGAUCCUAAACAACAUGAUGCACCAACACCCUCACCGGCACCUAAUGCUAUUCUAA
rnacentral:lncRNA from 1 species